GACGAACCGUCCAAACGUUAUUCGGAAUCACUGGGCUUACAGAGUUCGUAGGCGGUCUGGAAAGUUGGGUGUGAAAUCCCUCGGCUCACCGAGGAACUGCGCUUGAAACUACCAGACUCGAGGGAGAUAGAGGAAAGCGGAACUGAUGGUGGAGCGGUGAAAUGCGUUGAUAUCAUCAGGAACACCGGUGGCGAAGGCGGCUUCUGGGUCGUUACCUGGACG
rnacentral:rRNA from 1 species